AAUUGAGUAUUUGAGAGGAUGUAAAUGGGCUCAGUGUCAUCAGUGUACAUCUGUAGACCUACAUCUGAAAAUUCAUUAAUGUAAACCUAUGAAUGAUGGGGCCUAAGAUGGUCCCCUGAGGGAUCCCA